GGAUGUGAGGGCGAUCUGGCUGCAACAUCUGUCACCCCAUUGAUUGCCAGGGUUGAUCUGGCUGGCUAGGCGGGUGUCCCCUUCCUCCCUCACCGCUCCAUGUGCGUCCCUCCCAAAGCUGUGUGCUGGUCCUUCCCAGAAUAGUGACGGACAGUCUUCCUUGGAGGGUAUAUGAGUAGCUGUGCUAGAACCUCCAAACAAGCUCUCAAGGUCCAUAUAUCUCAAUGCUUUCUUGGCCACCAAGUUGCAGAUGCUACCGUGAUGCCAGUCUGACUUCUC
rfam:Erinaceus europaeus unplaced genomic scaffold scaffold00041, whole genome shotgun sequence